rnacentral:rRNA from 1 species
CGGACGGGUGAGUAACGCGUGAGCAACCUGCCCUUCGGAGGGGGAUAGUGUCUGGAAACGGACAGUAAUACCGCAUAACGUAUUUCUACCGCAUGAUAGAAAUACCAAAACUGAGGUGCCGAAGGAUGGGCUCGCGUUGGAUUAGAUAGUUGGUGGGGUAACGGCCUACCAAGUCGACGAUCCAUAGCCGGACUGAGAGGUUGAGCGGCCACAUUGGGACUGAGACACGGCCCAGACUCCUACGGGAGGCAGCAG